rnacentral:piRNA from 1 species
UAGCCCUGUAUGUUUUAAGGUUUGAUCCCA